rnacentral:rRNA from 1 species
GCUACACAUGCAGUCGAGCGGCAGCACAGCAGUAGCAAUACUGUGGGUGGCGAGCGGCGGACGGGUGAGGAAUACAUCGGAAUCUACCCUCUUGUGGGGGAUAACGUAGGGAAACUUACGCUAAUACCGCAUAAGACCUGAGGGUGAAAGCGGGGGACCGCAAGGCCUCGCGCGAGAAGAUGAGCCGAUGUCCGAUUAGCUAGUUGGUGAGGUAAAGGCUCACCAAGGCGACGAUCGGUAGCUGGUCUGAGAGGAUGAUCGGCCACACUGGAACUGAGACACGGUCCAGACUCCUACGGGAGGCAGCAGUGGGGAAUAUUGGACAAUGGGCGCAAGCCUGAUCCAGCCAUGCCGCGUGUGUGAAGAAGGCCUUCGGGUUGUAAAGCACUUUUGUUGGGGAAGAAAAGACCGCGGUUAAUAACCGUGGUUCAUGACGGUACCCAAAGAAUAAGCACCGGCUAACUUCGUGCCAGCAGCCGCGGUAAUACGAAGGGUGCAAGCGUUACUCGGAAUUACUGGGCGUAAAGCGUGCGUAGGCGGUUUGUUAAGUCUGUCGUGAAAGCCCCGGGCUCAACCUGGGAAUGGCGGUGGAUACUGGCAGGCUAGAGUACGGUAGAGGAUGGUGGAAUUCCCGGUGUAGCAGUGAAAUGCGUAGAGAUCGGGAGGAACAUCUAUGGCGAAGGCAGCCAUCUGGACCAGUACUGACGCUGAGGCACGAAAGCGUGGGGAGCAAACAGGAUUAGAUACCCUGGUAGUCCACGCCCUAAACGAUGCGAACUGGACGUUGGGCUCAAUUGAGAGCUCAGUGUCGAAG